rfam:Gorilla gorilla gorilla genomic chromosome, chr1, whole genome shotgun sequence
GCCGGGUGUGGUGACGCGCACCUGUAAUCCCAGCUACUCAGGAGGCUGAGGCAGGAGAAUCUCUUGAAACCAGGAGGCAGAGGUUGCAGUGAGCUGAGAUCGUGCCUCUGCACUCCAGCCUGGGCAACAGAGAGAGACUCCGUCUCAA